rnacentral:rRNA from 1 species
UGGGGAAUAUUGGGCAAUGGGGGCAACCCUGACCCAGCAACGCCGCGUGAAGGAAGAAGGCUUUCGGGUUGUAAACUUCUUUGACCAGGGACGAAAGAAAUGACGGUACCUGGAAAACAAGCCACGGCUAACUACGUGCC